GUGCCAGCCGCCGCGGUAAUACGGAGGGGGCUAGCGUUGUUCGGAAUUACUGGGCGUAAAGCGCACGUAGGCGGAUCAGAAGGUUGGGGGUGAAAUCCCGGGGCUCAACCUCGGAACUGCCUUCAAAACUAUUGGUCUUGAGUUCGAGAGAGGUGAGUGGAAUUCCGAGUGUAGAGGUGAAAUUCGUAGAUAUUCGGAGGAACACCAGUGGCGAAGGCGGCUCACUGGCUCGAUACUGACGCUGAGGUGCGAAAGCGUGGGGAGCAAA
rnacentral:rRNA from 1 species